CCCUUAGAUGUUCUGGGCCGCACGCGCGCUACACUGAUGCAUUCAACGAGCCUAUCCUUGACUGACAGGUCCGGGUAAUCUUUGAAUCUGCAUCGUGACGGGGAUAGAUUAUUGCAAUUAUUAAUCUUCAACGAGGAAUGCCUAGUAGGCGCAAGUCAUCAGCUUGCGUCGAUUACGUCCCUGCCCUUUGUACACACCGCCCGUCGCUCCUACCGAUUGGGUGUGCUGGUGAAAUGUUCGGAUCGGCCGUUUGUCGCGGUUUCCGCGGCUCGUGGCUGAGAAGUUCAUUAAACCCUCCCACCUAGAGGAAGGAGAAGUCGUAACA
rnacentral:rRNA from 1 species